rnacentral:rRNA from 1 species
GACGAACGCUGGCGGCGUGCCUAACACAUGCAAGUCGAGCGGAGUCGAUCGACGGAAGCCUUCGGGCGGAAGAUGGUUGACUUAGCGGCGGAUGGGUGAGUAACGCGUGGGCAACCUGCCUCGAAGACCGGGAUAACAGCCCGAAAGGGCUGCUAAUACCGGAUGUGGUCAAAGAUCCGCAUGGAUUUUUGAUUAAAGGGGAAACCCGUUUCGAGAUGGGCCCGCGUCCUAUCAGCUAGUUGGUGAGGUAAAAGCUCACCAAGGCGACGACGGGUAGCCGGCCUGAGAGGGUGACCGGCCACACUGGAACUGAGACACGGUCCAGACUCCUACGGGGGGCAGCAGUGGGGAAUCUUCCACAAAUGGGCGAAAGCCUGAUGGAGCGACGCCGCGUGAGCGAAGAAGGCCUUCGGGUUGUAAAGCUCUGUCUGGAGGGACGAAGGAAGUGACGGUACCUCCGGAGGAAGCCACGGCUAACUACGUG